rnacentral:lncRNA from 1 species
GUUUCUGACCUGCUCCAAUUCUUCUUAAUGUUCCACUGAAGACAGUAUUACCAAGAUCAAUACUGUAUAACUGAUCUUUACCAACUGUUACAAACUUCAACGGCUGUCCACCAACUUUCAUCCAAGAUGUACCCAUUGGUGCGGUCGUACUUACACCAGAUCUGCGAUAUAGUUCAUUCUUGCUGUUAACUCCCCAAACUUUGCC